rnacentral:misc_RNA from 1 species
GGAAAGCGGGAACGCAGGAGAGCCAGCAAAGUUGAUCAGGCAAAGGUACCGCGAGGCAGCGGACAUCAUCAAGAAGGGGAAAAUGUGUUGCCUCUUCAUCAAUGAUCUUGAUGCAGGAGCGGGAAGGAUGGGUGGCACAACUCAGUACACUGUCAACAAUCAGAUGGUGAAUGCCACUCUAAUGAACAUUGCUGACAACCCGACCAACGUUCAGCUUCCAGGAAUGUACAACAAGCAGGAGAAUCCCCGUGUGCCGAUCAUAGUCACAGGAAAUGAUUUCUCCACUCUAUACGCCCCUCUGAUCCGUGAUGGUCGUAUGGAGAAA